rnacentral:rRNA from 1 species
CCUACGGGAGGCAGCAGUGGGGAAUCUUGCGCAAUGGGCGAAAGCCUGACGCAGCCAUGCCGCGUGAAUGAUGAAGGUCUUAGGAUUGUAAAAUUCUUUCACCGGGGACGAUAAUGACGGUACCCGGAGAAGAAGCCCCGGCUAACUUCGUGCCAGCAGCCGCGGUAAUACGAAGGGGGCUAGCGUUGCUCGGAAUUACUGGGCGUAAAGGGAGCGUAGGCGGAUAGUUUAGUCAGAGGUGAAAGCCCAGGGCUCAACCUUGGAAUUGCCUUUGAUACUGGCUAUCUUGAGUGUGGGAGAGGUAUGUGGAACUCCGAGUGUAGAGGUGAAAUUCGUAGAUAUUCGGAAGAACACCAGUGGCGAAGGCGACAUACUGGCCCAUUACUGACGCUGAGGCUCGAAAGCGUGGGGAGCAAACAGGAUUAGAUACCCUGGUAGUCCACGCUGUAAACGAUGAGUGCUAGUUGUCGGCAUGCAUGCAUGUCGGUGACGCAGCUACGCAUAAGACACUCCGCCGUCGGGGAGGUACGGUCGCGAAGAAUUAAAACUAACGAAAGAAAGUUAGACGGCGUGAGACGUGCCGAACGGACGACGACGAGGGAGGAGG